rnacentral:rRNA from 1 species
GACAGAGGGUGCAAACGUUGUUCGGAAUUACUGGGCGUAAAGCGCAUGUAGGCGGCCAUGCAGGUCGGAUGUGAAAUCCCUCGGCUCAACCAAGGAAGUGCAUUCGAAACCGCAUGGCUGGAGUCCCGGAGAGGAAGGUGGAAUUCUCGGUGUAGAGGUGAAAUUCGUAGAUAUCGAGAGGAACAUCGGCGGCGAAAGCGGCCUUCUGGACGAGGACUGACGCUGAGAUGCGAAAGCGUGGGGAGCAAACAGG